rnacentral:lncRNA from 1 species
CAAUGAGGCAGUCUUCAACACUCUUCCCGUUCUCUCGUCUUCCUUCUCCGGUUCUCCUCCCACAGCUCCGCGAUCCAUCAGAGCAAGCUCCGCCUCCGCACGAUGAACAGAGGCCUGCCGCCGCCUGCGACACCGACAUUCUGGCGGCACCCGGCGCGCACGAAGGCAAGAAGGCGGCCGGGGCGGCUCCUCGACGUGGGGGGCGGCACGCUGCCGUAGCCUACCACCAGGUGCGUGCCCACGAUCGACUGCUUGCGACCUGCGUGCUAUCAUCCUGUGCGCGUUGCUGCGUGGUGCGCAUGGAUGGAUGCGAGCGAGUGAAGGCGAUGCUGGCCCAAUUGGUAGUAACUUCGGAUACUAGGGCUGGAGCGCGACCUGUGAGUGCCGGAGGUGUUCGAUGGAAUGCCUGUGGACAUCGAGGAUGGAAAUUGCAUGUCCUAGGAAAGCGAACCUGAUUUCUAGCCAUUGCUCUCGCACAGGCCCCUGGAAGGCGCUGCGCAUGUGGUCUGUCCUGCCCACUUUGGAUCCUAAAAGCAAUGAACCUAAUCGUUUUAGUUUGGUCCUUAGCCAUGAAAUCGAUGGGAGAAACACAUGAAUCAACAAUCCUUAUGGAACGCAUGACUAGGAAGUGAUCUUCACACAUGUUGACGCUUCCAAACCUGUAGGUUGGUGAAGUGACCUCGGUGCCUUGCUUCCUGUUAGUGUAAGUGUCAAUGUAAUGUAGUGUGAUUACUUGGUUAUGAGAUGAUGUUGGUUAGAAAAAUGUCAUUUCCUCUUUUGCGUGGGUAACUUCUCGUGGUGGCUCCUGUUGAAUAUAUAUGAGAUGAUGUUUAUGGCAAUAGGAUUCCGUACAUACCAAAUCUCUAAUUUCUCUCAGAUUGGGGCACAGUCGAUAUUCGGAUUAUGUUUUAGACCGGGAUUUGUUGAAGUUGAGAAUAUCGGUUCUGUGAGUAGCUUUUGACUUUCCAACAUUUUUUUGCAUAACUUCAAAUGUUGGGUACAGAUUGAGAAUUAACUUCUUCUGAAAGCCUGAUACGUCAUAUAUUCAGGAUUAGUACUGACUACUGACUGAACCAGUACCCCGGGCUUUUAUUAAUAUAUAUUUCUUCCGGGAAAUUUCUUAGCAAGUAAUCGGGAAGAAUGUAGUUCAGCACUUAAAUGGAAAGGUAAUACUGAAUUGGACAUACUUUGGAUGCUCCAAUGGUUAAUAGAUGUUUGUAAAUGACCAAUAUGGCUAAAACAAGAGGACCAUCCUUGCCCUCACGAUCUACAGAACAUCUUUUUAUAUUAGGUUUCCCCUCGUAAGCUGAGAACUGAGCAGAUUACAAUUAGAAGAGGUCUAGGGGUACCAGGACCUGUGACAUAUUCUUAUGAGGAAGGUGGGAUUCAAACCUGGGUCGCGGUAGUACAACCACCAUUGGGCUAACCAGAGUACAAUUGUAGCCUAUUCCUCGUCGGCAUUCCAGUGGCAGGAUCUGGGGCUGGGGUAAUAAGUUAAUAACAACUUCAGAGGAAUUUUCUGAUACAUAACCCUCCCCACAAAAAAUAAGACUGAACCUUGCCAAGUGGCCCAGUGGGCACCCUUAUAAGGUUGAUGUUUCUAAGUUCUAAUAUAAUACGAUCAGUAUAUGUACGAAACAUGUCUGUGUUUUGGCAUACUUAUUCGGUACAUCUCCUUAAGAAAUGUGUUGCUAAUCCCAUCAUCAGUUUUUCCAUAUUAUUUUUGGUGUGCAAACUUUGAGGCUAUUUGGAACAAACAAAAUUACCUAGUGUAACUACUUUUUGGCGAAAAUAGCUGGUGUAGCUAUAAAGAUUAUGAUAGAAUUAUCAUAGAUUGAAGUCCAAACAUAUGGAAAGUUACUUAAAAUACUUGUUAUCCUUCUAUGUAACAACUGAAGUAUUGUAUCCGGACUCUACUAAGUUAAUUAAAAAAAGUUAUCUAAAGUUCAAAGCAAUCAUAUAGUCUAGAUAAAUUUUCAGCAUGUUAUCUUUGUCCACCACAAUUUUUAUCUUAGAUACUGUAUGGGGGCGAAAACUUUCUUAUGCUAAUUGGUAUAUAAGUCCUUAUAAUCUCAUCGCAGUUACUGAUUUCGAAAUAGACAGAUGGAAGUUCGAAUAAAAGGCAUGAUUGUGAUUUGUGUUCUGAUACCUCCAACAGUUUUGAAAUUCCAGAAGUCUGCUACCCUUGGUGUCAUCUAAAAAAAUGUGAUUGUAGGAAAAAUAUUCAUGCAACCUGAGAUUUUUUGGUGAUAAAUUAAUAGGGUCAAGCUUUUACAUGUAUACUGAAAUAGGUAAGUCAAUAAUUUGAUCUGUUGGAUAACCCCUUACAGAUGCAUCUUAUAUAUUUCACUUUUCCCUUCAGCAGAAUAUUCUCAGGUGCUAACUACAUUUAUCUUAUUGUUGAUCCAUCCUGGGUUUGGUUCCACUCCUUCUGGUACUUGCUUCAAUAGUGUAUUACUGUUCCUUAUGAUUUCAUGUGGUUAAAAACCUCAAGUAAUGAAAGAACAGUCUUUGGCUAUCGUGCUUGCGAAGCCUAUGUGAAAUAAGAAAGCUGGCAAUUGACAAAAUCUCGUGCCUUGCUAAUCAAUGAACAGCGUUCAAGUAGAUGGUCCAUGGUCCCAAGCACUCCAUCACGAGCUGCAUCGUGUGUACCAGUACCAUUUAAGGCUUACCUUAUUGCUCGGAAAGCACACAUAAUUUGGUCCCAUCUUAUUGACAACGAGGGCUAGCAAUCGUCAUGGAACUCUCAUCGUCAGGGAAUAGGGGACGUCAUAGAAUAUGCAUAAAUCCGAAUUUUUCAUCUUACAACCACAUGCAGUUUUUGCAUCGACGUUGAAUGCCAUGUGGGAUCAAUAAAGCCUCACCACUUACAUAUUUAUUUUUGGAGUUGUCCGAAGUGGUGGCCUGACAGGGAUUGUUAUUUCACACGAAUCCUGCUCUCGUUCCAUUUUACUGUUUAUAUUAUGGCCUAGUAUUUAUGCUGUUUGAAUGAAUAGUUUACUGUGUUUAAAGAUUAUAGCCACAGUCUUCUACAGUUGAACGAGUUCUAUUUUAGUGUUUCCUUUAGGUGACAGUUUACACUUUAGUGCUUUCCUGCUUCUUGCUGUGACUUGUGAACAGAUACUUCAUGUCCCAUUUGCGCUCUGGGUGCAUGCAACAUGCUAAUUGGUGACACUCCAUGUUCAGAUCAUGUUUUCAUCUGACUAAUUGCUUAUUCGAUGGAUAUUCCUUUUGUUAGGACAAUCUACUCCAGUAUGCUUGACACUUAUAUGAUCUAUACCCAACUUACAGCUGUUGAGAGGGUCAUAUAUAGGCCCUUCAUGCUGCAAGAGGUCACAUAUUAAUAAUGUGCUUACAUUUUGGGAGCAUCACUCGGAGAUGUUCAACUUCAGUUUUUGUAAGGAGUAAAAGGACCAAAGAGCAGACAUACUUGGUGCCUACGUCAUAUCAGUUGCAGGUCCAUUCCCAAUAUACCACACACGACACAUCUAAUCUUCAACAGUACAUUCGUUAUGUUCGCUGCCUUCUCUCUGAUUCUGUUUGUUUUAUCCAUGUCUUUUGAUUGGGCUGUGCCUAAACAAACAGGGAACCCUGCAUCUGAACCAGAGUUGUGAGAGAGACAAAUCGUACUCAUUAAACAUGAUGUUAUGUGACUGUCUUCGUUAGCUGUACAUUAUGUUACUGCGAAUGCCCAUUCGAACACAAAUUAUACAGGAGAGGAAUUCACAGACUAUUUUUUAGUCUUCCAGAAUUCAUAUACAAGUCCACAUAAACGGUGGCUUAGUUACUGGAGAAGAUGGCAGCAACUUUCUGGCACUUCUGAAACUAAGGUCUGCCUGUUAUUCCUCAUUUUCUUCCUCAGAUUAAAUUUGAUGUUAACCUGCUCCGUUUUCACACUUUGUGGAACAUCUGGCCAGAAAAGCUGUGUUAUUUGGAUAUAUUUAUUUGUUUUCUCAAGUGUUAUCUGGAUAUUCUGCAAGCAGGGUUUGUACUGCCAUUGGAGUUAGCAACUGCAGAGCUAGAAGAAUUUAACAACUUGUUCCUCAGCUGUAAAUUUUUGCUGAGUGGCCCCUUGUACAUCGUUGGGACAGCAGGGUCAUGUGUGUACUAUGUACCCCACUGCGAGCUAGUUCUAUGCACUAAAUACCCUGUACCCCACUGUUUUUUGAAGUGGGCCCUUCUGUACCCCGCUAUGAGCUAGUUCUAUUCAGCAGUAAAAAUCCUUAACCCAUGCCUGGAGUGGAACUAAAUUCAUGGCCUAGCAUGGUAAUAGGCAGGCAAGUCUUGCCAUGCCAAUAAACAGAACUUUUGGACAAUUAUUGAAAACUAACUAAUGGUUGUAGUCAACUAUGCAAUUUGGAAUUCAAAGCGACCAGGAAAUCCUUACGGCACAAUGAAUAUAGACAAAGAUAUUUAAAAUGACUCUUUUUGUUUAGGUAAUCUGGUACUAUCGCUCUCUCUAUUGUAGUCUUUCAGCUAGGGAGGAUGGUAGAUGUAACGGAAAACGGCCAGGUUGAUAACUUGAUCCAUGCAUGCAUGUUUUGAUGUAGCAUAGAAGUUGUUGAAAGAUGUCGUAUCCUCCAACAGCAGAGUAAUUGGGGUGCAGUACAAGGUACCGUACCUGAGUUCUUGGGUACACAGUGAUGGCACAUGCACGCAUGUUCGCAUGUGCCCCGGAUAUUGUACGCUUCCAAUGAUCUUGAUUUUUGUUAUUUAUUUGCAAGUACUGUACGUUUUGUUUUGUUUCUUUGCUUUUAUAUUUAUUUCUGUUUGUCCCUUUUUAAAGAAUUGAAGCUGAACUGAAAACUGGAAUUUAUCCUCUUGGCGGUUCUCUUGGGAUGUACUGCACAUACAUCUUAUUAGGGUAUUCUCCAUGGGGGAUUGCCUGGAACAUACAUGGACUUUGCAGAAAAUUGAACAAUUUCACAAUUUUCUUUUGAUGCAGAAAUGUCCUGGUUUAUUGCUUCCUGCUCUUAGAAACAAUAUGUUGUUGACUUACACUUUGAAGGAAAUACUCCCUAAAAUGUGCUGUUUUCAUGUUGCCAUAGUUUCCAAAAAGAUAACAUCGAGCAGCACAUUCUGGUAAAAUAUGAGUUUACUAUUUAAUAAACUAUAGUACAAUAUUCUGAAAUUACUUUUCGGGAUAGUUCUCGGCAGUUUUUUCACUUCUCCAAUCAUAAUAUUCAGAGAGGAAAAUGUAGUUUAUCAAAACUAAGAUAGAGCACAUAUCCAUUUUGUAAGUGGCCAACACAACAACACAAUUGAUAUAAAUUAUCUUUUCUUUGCGACCAUUAGCACCUGUGCAUAUGCUAUUUCACUUUUUUACUGAGAAUAUACUCUUUGAACUAAUACAUGUACAUUGGAUAUUCUCCUAUUGGAUUGCUUCGAUAAAAUUGUUUGCACAUUUUAGGACAAUGUUUUCCUACGUAAUAUUUGAAAAGAUGACACUGUUUUUUCCCCUCCCUUUUCCAGUAAAGAACUAACUAAAUACAUUCCAAAACGCAGGUGUUUGCAGUGCAGAGAACAUCCCUACGCAGCCAUUAUUCCCGCACAGUAUAUGUCGGCUGAGGUUAAUUAUCAUGCAUAUAUCCAUAUAUCAGAAGAACAUGCUUGCCAGAAAAGCCAGAACAGAUGCCUGUUGACCAGGGUUCUUGAGCGUGGCGACCACUUAACAGUGCACUGGAGAGAUCAAAGGAGGUACGCACACAUUACUGAUCAUCUUCUUCUUAUACAUAUAUGAUAGCAAGACACGUACUGGUCCAGUCUCCAGUCCACCCAUGCCCCCAUCCAGCGUGUUGCAGGGCCAUGAAUUUGAUGACGCCGGGCCGAAACGCACACACCAAACACAUGUAUACAAAGGAACAUAUAUAGGUGUAGUACUCGAGUUAAUUAAGCCACAGCUAGCGAAGUUCUUCCCCUUGCAUGGUCCCAACAAGGGAGCUAAGAUGGAUCGAUGGAGAAGAUUAUGUGCAUGGCAGGGCAUGCUGGGCACGGACUCCGAGGGAAUGAUGGCGCGUCGCGUUCAUGCAAUGGUCCUUCUCCUGCCCUUCCCUGCGUUUCCAGCCAGGAGGGGCUCCAUGAUCGCAGGCAGGGCGUCAGAUGCACACAUGAUGAGACCCAGGUUUCAGCUGCCUGCCAGCUGAAUGAACAACCUAGCUAGGCGUUGUUUUCAGGGAGGGGGCAUGUUGCUGUCAGUGUGUGGGCGAUGCUGCAGGCAGAAUAUUCAUUCCAUUUGAGAUUAUGUGGGUAUUCAGGAACGUCUCACUCUCAGGCUGGUCAGUGAAAUCUCCUUCGAUCGUUUCUUGCACGUUCCAGAAAAAUCAUUGUCUUACAUUCAGUUCGGAGAGAAGUAAUUUAAGCCCGUAUAUAAUUAGUUUGAAGCUUAGGAAUCCUGGAGGAGCAUUAGGUAUUUAUGUUCCUCUGUGAAAUUCCUAAACAAACCCUCUAAUUCCUAUUGCCCUUGUACUUGUUACAGCGUGUUGAAUUACUGUGCGCCAGGUUAGUUCCACAGUACCACAGCUUCCGGUGAUGCAGCUCAUCAGAGACCACGCAUGCCAUGCAGUACUGGGGCAGCUAGCUAGCCCAGGCUAGCUACUAGCAACUGCUGGAAUCUGAUCAUAACACCUUGCAAUGCAAAGCAGGACGGAAACAAAAAGGAAAUAAUUUGUAUCUUUCCUUGGAUCCCUCUGCCCAUCUUUUCUUUCAUGAAGAUUUGUGAAAGCAAGCAAAGCCAUGGUCGCAUCACAUUCAGUAGAUGCAGGUUGCAGGGAAUGGAACAGGACGCUCGCUUAUGUGUGCCCUGCGAAGCCGUUAUCUCUCUGCAGAGUGGGUGACAAACAAACAUAGGAGACAACAAGAAGAAGAUGAUGAGUCGUCAAUUCCACUGCAUGCUGCAUGCAGCUUCUGCCAGUGAAUGAAUGAGCGAAUGAAUUGACAUAAAGGGCGCGGACAAACCGGGCACUCAAAGGCUGAUUUGGCAGGUUAUGUUUGUUGAUGCUGCACAAAAGAUGGGAAUCAAAUAUAUAUGCACGAGAGCUUUGCAGAAAAUUUCUUCCGUUAUCAUCUGCAGAGUUAAGAGACUCGUAAAUUUGGAAUGCCUGGCUAGCUAAUUGGUCAUCUCAUGCUCGUGGGAUAGUAGGGAAUAAGUUGGAUGAAGCGCCAUCCUUUCUUCUGACAUAUAGCUGCUGAGUCAUCACCUUUGACAUGGCUGCCGAAAAUAUUUAUAUCACCAAACCCUUGCUUGUCGCUAAGCACAGUCUGUCUGUAGCAAGAUAAGAACGGCACCAAAGGAGACAGGUGACAAGCAAAAGCCCUCCAUCCAUGUUUCAAGGGGAGCAACCAUUCGAGGUUGGGAAGAGUAAACAAUCAAAUUCUAUUUGGCCUGUUGCUGAUUGGAUAAAACCAAGCUUACCUUUUGGAAACCAGAAGCAUGUGCAAGUUUACUGAGCUCCACUACUCCGAGGCCAAGUGGGCAGAACUGGUUAUCUUUUCUCCAUUCGCAUUGCACCCAAAGUGGGGGCAUGGAUCAGCCUUUGGAGCUCUUUACAUCUCUAUCAUCUGGUAUGCAUUUCAUAUGUAUUCACUUGUUUUCUUUUGGUUAGAAAUGGAUGCACAUAAUUUGAAUCAAAUGUGUUAGAAGAAUAAAAGACCUACUAACUUACCCAUUGCCAUUGGCCAUUGUAAAGGAAUUAAGACAUAGAUACCUCGUGUGACAAGCACGAUUCUCUGCCUUGCAGGCGCCAUGAAUAUUUUUUUGCUUAGUUAAUUUGAAAUAAUAUUGUGCCUUUUGUCUUAAUCCAUGUUUUAGCUAGCUUUUCUAACAGAUAGAAGAAGUUACACAAAAGUGGAAACAGGGAUCUACACAACUUAGUAAACAGGAAAGCAAUCCUAGCCUUUUGGGACAAUGGCAUGUGCAGUGCAGAUGCACCACUCUGUAGCAAGAGCUAGCAAUACCAAUGCAUAGAGCUAGCAGAAAAAUUUCCUGCCCUAGUUGAACCAAAAAUUAAAAAGGGACAGACUCAACAAAAGUAUCUGAUUAGUUUGACCAAUCUCCCCAAGUUGCACCCAAGUUUUGGGCAGGAAAGUGAGGGUGGCAGCAGGUAUGGGGUCCCAUCCAUCCCAGUGAGGAGAGGGGGAGGAAGGAAAGGAAGCUAGGUGCUCUCUUCAGAUCGCUAAUAAUUCUUUGAAAGGAGAGAUGCAUGGCUUUGGCUGGACAAGGGAGGAGCCCAUCCAUGUGUGACCAUGUGUCUGCAUGGCUAGGGCACCUGAAUAGCAACAUGUGGUUUCCAGGGGGCAGCAUGGCACAACAGUACACUUGGCUGAUGCCGUCCAGGAAUUUAAGGGGACACCUUCUCCUAUGUUGGCAGUUGGAUUUGAUGCUAAUGUGGUCCUUUUGAGCAUGCUAACAUGAGGGAAUUGCCACUUCUUCUCUGAUCAUCACUGUCAUGUAAGUAUAUGUAUAGAACAGCUUUUCUUGUGCGUCUGCAUGCCUUCCAGUUGUUGUUUUGUACCACACUUUGGCUCGG